AUAGGCUAUAUUUUAUUACGUGCUGCUCUUAUGUGCUGAAACACUGAACACUUUCCUUUACUUAAGAUAUAAUAAGCAACAUCUUUAAAUAAAGGGAAUCACCUAUUAAGUGUCAUAAAGCCUAUAGGGGGGAAAAAUCAUGUUUCAGUUCUCUCCGGAGCAUUUGGGAUGAAUGUUGGACAGAUUCUGUCUAGAGGAUGUUAUAAAAAACAUUUUAUAUCGAGUUAUUAACGGAGAAUUUUAUAUAUGUGGUUUUCGUGAUGAUGUGAUGGUGUGCUUUAUCUGCAUGAUUCUCGCUGAAGUGGGCGGUUUGAGUGACGUUCGAUUCGGGGGAUGUUCUGGGGGCGGGGUUUGCGUGACGCGCUGCGAGCUACUAGCCCCACAGUGGAAACGCGACAUGAUUUCGGCCUCACUGCUCAACCUCCCGGGCGAUUGGCCCGGCCUGGCCCGAUAUAAGCCCUGGCUCGCACUG
rnacentral:lncRNA from 1 species